GGGACCGGGGAACCCCCAACGAGAUCCGUAGGACAGCAACGCGGAGGCGACCGUCGACUCCACGAUGAGGAACACAUGGGCGCCGUUUGCCCAUGUACGAGGGACGGCCGUGAGCCAUGGCGUCCGCUGGUCGGUGAUCCACACGACAUAUGCGUGCGGCCGGGACGCGUACGGCUGCGUUCCGGAAGUCGAGGCAUCCAACCCUCUCCUCCGCAGAUCUAUCUGAGCCCUGUCGUCGGACGAGAUCCAUAAUAUUUUGACAUUCACAACAGGCCUGCAGAUCCAAGAUGAGCUGGAGAUUCCCGAGGAACUGUGAUGACACAUGGCUAACGGAAUCCAAAUGUGUGCCAAGAAGAUACCGGCAGACGAACACCCCGAACUAGAGGAGAUUCCCUUUUGUAUCUUUUCAUAGAUAGCUGCUCCGUGACAUGGUUUAUGAUUUCCAACUUCAAGUACAUGUAAUUGGCCAAUACAAACUGCACUUGUAGGUCCAUAGCAUACGAAGAACCAUCGAGAUAGCAAACUGGAUUUGUUCAUGGAAGAAGUUGGUCUUGAAACUGUUAGAACGUACGAUUUCAUAAAUGGAUAUUAAUUUUUUGGCUU